UAAACCACUAAGAUACUUCCCGCUUUUUAAAAAACCUCUCCGCCUAUCCACUCUGAGCCAAAGGGACUAAGAGCUGGAUACAGACAGGAGCUUAACCGGCGACGUUCCUCGAAUCUGCGUUUUGGUGUUGAAUUCUGUAAUGUUAUAGAUUAGCUUUCAGCUCGAUCUUACAAAGCUUGUGUUAAACCAAUGGCUAUCGGUAGUUUCAUUUCUAGCCGGAAUUUUGGUUCUUUUAUCGGUUCAGGGAAAAUAUGUGACAGGGAUCGAGCUAUUUCACGUCUCAGAGGAGAACAGUCAGGCAUCCCUGUGGCCCAGAAUGUGGCAGGAAGCAUGCUCUACCAAAAGUUGUGUAGUCAAAUGGCCAAUUGCCUAAUAUCUGGAUACACACAUUGUCACCUCAGAAAGGAACAUCCUUUGUCCCUUGGAUGUAAUGAAAAGUCCCGGAGAAUUUAUCUCCGACAAAGUGUAAGAUGUGAAUGUCAUCUUUCCUCAGAACAUUCACUUGGUAGUUGGUUUCAACCAAGCACAGUAGAUAGGAUUGGCACACGUAACUGGAAAUUCGUGCAAAACAAGCAUGCCAGGGUGAAAAGAUUUCGUGCUUUCUAUAAGUCUGAGGAGUAUGACAUAACAGAAGCAAAAGUGGACUCUUUGAAUUCACCAGAGGGACCAAGUGAGGUCGUUCUGCUAGAAGGAAAUGUGCAGGAAACAUCUCCUUGGUGGGAGCAAUUUCCUAAACGCUGGGUGAUUGUACUGCUCUGUUUUGUGGCAUUUCUGUUGUGCAACAUGGAUCGUGUGAACAUGAGCAUUGCAAUACUUCCAAUGUCGCAAGAAUUCAAUUGGAACAGUGCUACAGUGGGUUUAAUUCAGUCCUCCUUUUUCUGGGGCUAUCUACUCACUCAGAUUGUUGGAGGCAUAUGGGCAGAUAAAAUUGGUGGUAAGUUAGUGUUGGGUUUUGGAGUGGUCUGGUGGUCAUUAGCAACUGUUUUGACACCUAUUGCUGCAAGAAUCGGACUUCCUUUUUUGCUGACCAUGCGUGCUUUGAUGGGGAUUGGAGAGGGUGUUGCUAUGCCUGCAAUGAAUAACAUGCUAUCUAAGUGGAUUCCAGUGUCUGAGAGAAGCAGAUCACUUGCACUAGUUUAUAGCGGAAUGUAUCUUGGUUCUGUUGCUGGGUUGGCUGUCUCUCCCAUUCUAAUCCACAAAUUUGGGUGGCCAUCUGUGUUCUAUUCAUUUGGCUCCCUAGGAAGCAUCUGGUUUGCAUUUUGGCUGAAAAAAGCGUACAGCUCUCCAAAAGAAGACCCAGAACUUAGAGCUGAAGAAAAAAAUUUUAUUUUGGGUGGCAACAUGUCAAAGGAACCUGUUUCAGUGAUUCCCUGGAAAUCAAUAUUAUCAAAAGCACCUGUCUGGGCUCUAAUAAUUUCUCACUUCUGCCACAAUUGGGGUACUUUUAUUCUGUUGACAUGGAUGCCUACAUACUAUAAUCAGGUCUUGAAGUUCAACCUGACUGAAUCUGGACUCCUCUGUGUCUUGCCCUGGUUGACAAUGGCACUUUUUGCAAAUCUAGGAGGCUGGAUUGCAGACACACUUGUAAGCAAAGGUCUUUCCAUAACUGCAGUUCGUAAGAUCAUGCAAUCAAUUGGGUUUCUAGGCCCAGCUUUCUUUCUCACACAGCUGAGCAAUGUCAGGACUCCUGCAAUGGCAGUGCUAUGCAUGGCAUGCAGUCAGGGCUCUGAUGCAUUCUCACAAUCUGGUCUUUAUUCCAAUCACCAAGACAUUGGCCCUCGCUAUGCUGGAGUUCUAUUAGGUCUAUCAAACACAGCAGGGGUGCUUGCUGGUGUUUUUGGUACGGCUGCGACCGGUUACAUACUCCAAAGAGGUACUUGGGAUGACGUUUUCAAGGUAGCUGUUGUAUUAUACAUCAUUGGCACAUUAGUUUGGAACUUGUUUGCGACUGGAGAGAAAGUUCUGGAUUAGACAAGUAUCUGCAAGAAUGAGAAGUAUAGGAAAAGGGACCAAAUAACUAUAGGCUUGAGAUAUCUUUACACGCAUGCCAGGGUGAAAAUUGAAACCCUGAAGUGCAAGUCUCAAUAUACUAUUAUCAAAGUUUUUCGUCAACUUUGAAGGCCCUUAAAUUGACUUCUGACAGCUUUUGAGUUGACUUGAAAAACCUCAUACAGAAACAUUCUCCUUCGCCCAGUACACGCCUAAUCUGCAAACUGCCUCAAUGAACUAUCAGAAUGCACCCAACAUAAAAUAUUCUAAUCCGAUGGUUUGAAUAUUUAUGGUUAAAA